rnacentral:rRNA from 1 species
UACGUAGGGUGCGAGCGUUGUCCGGAAUUAUUGGGCGUAAAGAGCUCGUAGGCGGUUUGUCGCGUCGAAUGUGAAAAUCCGAGGCUCAACCUCGGGCUUGCAGUGGGUACGGGCAGACUAGAGUGCGGUAGGGGUGACUGGAAUUCCUGGUGUAGCGGUGGAAUGCGCAGAUAUCAGGAGGAACACCAAUGGCGAAGGCAGCCUUCUGGGCCAACACUGACGCUCAUGCACGAAAGCGUGGGGAGCAAACAGG